GAUGAACGCUGGCGGCGUGCCUAAUACAUGCAAGUCGAGCGAACAGACGAGGAGCUUGCUCCUCUGACGUUAGCGGCGGACGGGUGAGUAACACGUGGAUAACCUACCUAUAAGACUGGGAUAACUUCGGGAAACCGGAGCUAAUACCGGAUAAUAUAUUGAACCGCAUGGUUCAAUAGUGAAAGACGGUUUUGCUGUCACUUAUAGAUGGAUCCGCGCCGCACUAGCUAGUUGGUAAGGUAACGGCUUUCCAAGGCAACGAUGCGUAGCCGACCUGAGAGGGUGAUCGGCCACACUGGAACUGAGACACGGUCCAGACUCCUACGGGAGGCAGCAGUAGGGAAUCUUCCGCAAUGGGCGAAAGCCUGACGGAGCAACGCCGCGUGAGUGAUGAAGGUCUUCGGAUCGUAAAACUCUGUUAUUAGGGAAGAACAAAUGUGUAAGUAACUAUGCACGUCUUGACGGUACCUAAUCAGAAAGCCACGGCUAACUACGUG
rnacentral:rRNA from 1 species